rnacentral:lncRNA from 10 species
AGAAGAAGAAGGAGGAGCAGGAGGAGGAAUACAAUGGUCCAGUGCCAAGACAGUGAAAGGCAGAGGGCCAUGGCAAAGUCUGAGGGCUGGAGGCAGAUGGACAGAUGAUGGACGAAUGGGCACCGGUGAGGCCAACCAGAGGAGGCUACCGGAGCUACAGGGAGAGCCUUUCAGGCAUCUCUGAAAGGGGACAUCAGGCGAGGCUGAAAGCAGGAGGCACAGGAUCACCAGGUCCUGCUCCACACCCAGGAGGGCAGGAGGCAGCUUUAUGUGCAGACAGGGCGUUCUCAGCCUCAGCAGAUCUCCCGCAAUAUACCCAAGGACGAGGAAAAUCAGUGACUGUUCAGAGGAGGAACCACCUUAUCAGGGACCAAAAUUAACAUUGCCAAUCAGGGCAAGCUGACAGACGUCUCUGUGUUUGAUAUCUCAAGGACACCGUUUACAGAGCACUCCAGCCAGAAAUAUAUAACUCGAAUUCCAUCCUGACAAAAUACCAGACCAAACCAAAUUGAGGGCAUUCUUUAAUAUAACCAGCUGGUAUUUGUUCAGAAAUAUCACUGCUGUUAAAGACAAAGACAGGCUGAAGAACUGCAGCAGGUUAAAGAAGAAUAAAGAGAUAUGAUUACUAAACAGAGCAUGUGAUCUGGUACUCCGUCCUGGACCAAGAAAAAAAAGGAUAGGAAAGAAACCGUCAAAGUUGGAAUGAAAACGGUAGAUGAGAUAAAAGGUACUGGCUCCAUGUUACAUUUCUUGAAUUGAUAGCUUAUGUGGUUACAUAAGAGAAUAUCAUUAUUCUUAGGAAAUAAACAUUGAAUUUUUUAUUUUUUUUUUAGACACAGUCUCACUCUGUCACCCAGGCUGGAAUGAGAUUGCGUGAUUUCAGCUCACUGCAACCUCCACCUCCCGGGUUCAAGCAAUUCUCCUGCCUCAGCUUCCCUAGUAGCUGGGAUUACAGGUGUGCACCUGGUUAAUUUUUUGUAUUUUUAGUAGAGAUGGGAUUUCACCAUGUUGGCCAGGCUGGUUUCGAACUCCUGGCAUCAGGUGAUCCACCCGCCUCAGCCUCCCAAAGUGCAGGGAUGACAGAUGUGAGCCACUGUACCCAGCCAAUAAACACGAAAGUAUUAAGGGGUAAGGGAUAUAAAGUAACGUAGGGGAAAGAAAGAAAGAGGAAGAGGCAAGGAGAGGGACAGAGACAGUGGGAAAGGGAAGAGACACUGCUAUGACAAACGUGGCAAAAAGUUAAAAAUAGAUAAAUAGGGAUAAAGAGUAUAUGGAAGAUUUGUUCUUUUUUCCCCCUCAAAUUUCUGUAAGUUUGAAAUUAGUUCAAAAUAAGAAGCUAAAAACAAAAAUAAAACGGAACAGAGCAACUUCCUUUAAACCAGGAAGCCUCCUUUUGAAGCUGCAGCAUCUGAGAUGCAGGCGGCGAGUCCAGCCCCUCCACUCUGUCUCCCCUCCCAGCCAAGAUGAUUUUUAAAAGUCCACAGUUGCAAACCGUAAGUGUCUCCUAGGGAGAGCUUUCUAUCAUUCACGUGGUUAACAUGGUUAGCAGGUUAACACCUUCAUCCUGUGUGUUUAGGAACGUCUGUGAGAAAGGGUAAAGGUGAACACGGCAGGUGGGGCGUUUCCUUCACUUUUGCGGUCAGGCCGGUGUUUUCCUUGCGUGAUGGGACCCCAGGCUGGUGGCCCAGGGCUGUGCCACUCGUUGCUUCCCAUGCCUGAGUGUGGAUGUGGAUCCUCAUGCCUGCCCCUCAUGGUGCCAACGGCAGGUGCCCCUAUAGGCAUCGGGACUGUAUUUCAAGGAAAAAGGAGGCAGGAAGGGGCGGGAAGGUGUCCUCAAUCCAGGCUUGCCUUCACUUGCAAAGGCAAACGGCCAGAAGACAGACACCAGCUGGCAGAGGACUGGCUGACCAGGGACCGACGCUGGCAGAAUGCAAUUCCAGUCCUGCAACUAGUUCCAAAUUAAAAUGUAAAAAGCCACAUUUAGCAAAUGAGAUUUUUCCUGAGCUUUAUUUUUUUAAGGGCUGCGUGCUUUCUAUUUGAGAUAAUCUGAAAUUACAGAAAACACACAAUGGGAAUAUCGCAUGGUGGCCUCCACCUUUCUAAGCUUUGGCUGUUGCCACAAAACCACUCUAUGGCUCUAACGUUCUGUGCUCCGUGAUUGUUUUGUGUGGAAACAAAAUCUCUGGGGUUGACCAGAUAUGCUUGGAAAUUCCUUGCAACAAAUGAAACAGCAGCUAAAAUGCACUGUGUUCCAAUUGGGAUUUUGCAUUUCCCAUAUGAUUUUUGAAAAACAACACAGAAAACGUGAACGUUACAAGGACUAUAAAACUUUUCUGUGUAGGCCAGGCACGGUGGCUCAUGCCUGUAAUUCCAGCACUUUGGGAGGCCAGUAUGGGAGGACUGCCUGAGCCCAGGAGUUUGAGACCAACCUGAGCCAGACAGCAAGACCCCAUUUCUACACAACAAAUUUAAAAAUUAGCUAGGCAUGGUGACAUGCGCCUGUGAUCCUAGCUACUUUGGAGGCUGAGGCAAGAGGAUCACUUAUGCCUAAGAGUUUAAGGUUACAGUGAGCCACGAUCACGCCACUGCACUCCACGCCUGGCCGAUAGAGAGAACCUGUUUUAAAUUAAAAAAAAAAAGUUUUUUAUGUAAAGUUUUGGCAGAAACUUUUCAGAUUGAGACUUGACAUUUAAUAACUUUCUGUAAUAAUGGAGGAUUUUAACUUUGGUUUAAUUUUUGGACUCUUUUGAUGGGUUUGAGGUUGCAGGUAUCAAACCCUGCAGGAAUGGGCUGUGCACGGCUUCAGGCGGGCUGGAGUGCUAACUGAGGCUGCCAAGCGUGAAACAGCACAACGGUAAAAGCAAAAUACAUGCAGAGAGAAAAGAAAUGAAUUCACUCCAUGGGCCUGCAGAUGUGGAAAAGAAGUGUCACUAAGGCCAGGCGCCUGUGCUCUGGGGUUCCUGGCCAGGUUCCCAGAAGGAAGGGUGUGGUUUCUUUUUCCUCUUGGAUGGCUGGCUGUGGGUCCUGGAUACCUCGGAAUCAAUUCCAGACAUUUGGGGUUGAGUCAUCGGAAGAAAGGAAAUAGAGACGUCUGAAUUUUUCACAUCACUAUAUUUUAAACAUGAUUAGGCAAG